rnacentral:rRNA from 1 species
GGUUAAGCGACUAAGCGUACACGGUGGAUGCCCUGGCAGUCAGAGGCGAUGAAGGACGUGCUAAUCUGCGAAAAGCGUCGGUAAGGUGAUAUGAACCGUUAUAGCCGGCGAUGUCCGAAUGGGGAAACCCAGUGCAAUUCGUUGCACUAUCGUUAACUGAAUACAUAGGUUAACGAGGCGAACCGGGGGAACUGAAACAUCUAAGUACCCCGAGGAAAAGAAAUCAACCGAGAUUCCCCCAGUAGCGGCGAGCGAACGGGGAGCAGCCCGGAGUCUGAAUCAGCUUGUGUGUUAGUGGAAGCGUCUGGAAAGUCGCAGGGUACAGGGUGAUACUCCCGUACACUAAAACACACAGGCUGUGAACUCGAAGAGUAGGGCGGGACACGUGGUAUCCUGUCUGAAUAUGGGGGGACCAUCCUCCAAGGCUAAAUACUCCUGACUGACCGAUAGUGAACCAGUACCGUGAGGGAAAGGCGAAAAGAACCCCGGCGAGGGGAGUGAAAAAGAACCUGAAACCGUGUACGUACAAGCAGUAGGAGCCCACUAGUUGGGUGACUGCGUACCUUUUGUAUAAUGGGUCAGCGACUUAUAUUCUGUAGCAAGGUUAACCGAAUAGGGGAGCCGCA